CGCAUCUGUGCAUGCAGCAUAUCAAUAAGCGGAGGAAAAGAAACUAACAAGGAUUCCCCUAGUAACGGCGAGUGAAGCGGGAAGAGCUCAAAUUUGAAAUCUUAAAGGGUUUCCCUUUACGAAUUGUAGUUUAAAGAAGUGUUUUCUGUUGAGGUUUUGGUAAAAGUUCUUUGGAAUAGGACAUCAUAGAGGGUGAGAAUCCCGUAUUUGACCUUUACUUUCAACUUUGUGAUACACUUUCAAAGAGUCGGAUUGUUUGGGAAUGCAGUCCAAAAUGGGUGGUAAAUUUCAUCUAAAGCUAAAUAUUGGCGAGAGACCGAUAGCGAACAAGUACCGUGAGGGAAAGAUGAAAAGAACUUUGAAAAGAGAGUUAAACAGUACGUGAAAUUGUACAAAAGGGAAGCGUUUGACACCAGUGUUGUUUUUCUGAAAAUCAAUUAAAGAACUGUUUAUGCUAAGCUGUUUAGACUUUAUCAGCUAUCUGUUUAGUUUUGAGCUUUUCUUUAAUGCACUUUUCAGUUAACAAGUCAACAUCAAUUUCUUUUGCUGUAAAAAAGCUUGAGGAAGGUGGCUUGAGAUUCGUCUUAAGUGUUUAUAGCCUCUUGCCUAUGCAGUCGGAGAGAUUGAGGUCUGCAGCGUAGAUCCUUCGGGGCUAAAUGCAUUUGUGCUAAGUUAUAGCAUUUUAUAGACAACUUGUUGACUAUGAUUUGUCUUGUAGCUUACUCGCUUAUGUUAUUUUACCUACGCUUAGGAUGUUGAGUCGUAGAGCACGCAG
rnacentral:rRNA from 1 species